GCCUAUAGCCAUGCCACCCUGAAUAUGCCCGAUCCCAUCUGAUCUCAGAAGCUAAGCAAGAUCUGACUUGGUUAGUACUUGGAUGGGAAACCACCUGGGAAUACCAGGUGCUGUUGGCU
ensembl:rRNA 5S_rRNA 5S ribosomal RNA